CUCCGUUGGUGAACCAGCGGAGGGAUCAUUACAGAGUYACUACUCCAAACCCAUUGUGAACCUUACCUAUGUUCUGUUGCCUCGGCGGCGCGGCGAAGCYGCGCGCCCCUCCGAGAGGAGGGCGAGCGACGACCCGCCCGCCGGCAGCACCAAACUCUUGAAAUUUUACAGCGGAUCAAAGCUCUGAUUUGAAACAAAAAGAAAAACAAGUUAAAACUUUCAACAACGGAUCUCUUGGUUCUGGCAUCGAUGAAGAACGCAGCGAAAUGCGAUAAGUAAUGUGAAUUGCAGAAUUCAGUGAAUCAUCGAAUCUUUGAACGCACAUUGCGCCCGGCAGUAAUCUGCCGGGCAUGCCUGUCCGAGCGUCAUUUCAACCCUCGAACCUCCGUUUCCUCAGGGAAGCUCAGGGUCGGCGUUGGGGCGCUACGGCGAGUCUUCGCGACCCCCGUAGGCCCUGAAAUACAGUGGCGGUCCCGCCGCGGUUACCUUCUGCGUAGUAAGUCUUUUUUUGCAAGCUCGCAUUGGGUCCCGGCGGAGGCCUGCCGUCAAACCACCUAUGAACUCCAGAUGGUUUGACCUCGGAUCAGGUAGGGUUACCCGCUGAACUUAAGCAUAUCAAUAAGCGGAGG
rnacentral:rRNA from 1 species